rnacentral:rRNA from 1 species
GCCAGCACGUAAAGGUGGGAACUCUGAAGAUACUGCCCCGGUUAACGGGAGGAAGGUGGGGAUGACGUCAAGUCCUCAUGGCCCUUAUGCCCAGGGCUACACACGUGCUACAAUGGCAUAUACAAAGGGUCGCGAUACCGCGAGGUGGAGCCAAUCCCAUAAAGUAUGCCACAGUUCGGAUUGGAGUCUGCAACUCGACUCCAUGAAGUUGGAAUCGCUAGUAAUCGCAGAUCAGCAUGCUGCGGUGAAUACGUUCCCGGGCCUU